AUCAAUCAAGAAGAGGUGAGUGAGUUUCGCAAGGCAUGCUGGGUAUGCUACCCUUCCUUUUUUGGCGGUUUUACCUCGUAGUAACUUUCCAGAAAAACGAAAGGGUUAUGAUGAGAGAUUAUGUCAUACCCUGGCACAUGCUUUGUCCAAUGGACCAUGGAAGGGACUUUACUUGGCUGACGAGGACGCACCUCACCAGUAUCAGAGCAACAGCUGUGGGGUGUUUAUGCUGAUGGUGAGAUGCAUUAUUUUCAGAAAUGAUGACUGAUGACUAGUUUGUAAAACAACUAACUCAUUUGUAUGUUAAUUUCAGUACGCAAUGUAUUCUACCCUCAAAAGCAAUAUGAUUUCAGUGAGGGGGACAUGCUCUCUAUCAGGAGGUGGUGGUUGGACAGCUGUUGGAGACCUUUAUGCUUGAAAGCCCUGCAGAACUUGCUGGCUCCUUCUCACCCUCUCCAUCUCCCCAUCUCAGUCACACCUUCCAAUCACUAAGCAGUGAAAGCCCUGCAGGACUAGCUGGCACACCAAGCUCACCCUCUCCAUCUCCCCAUCUCAGCCACACGCUCCAAUCUGGCACAACAGAGGACAGGCCAUUCUUACCACCCGAAGUCCUUCAGCAAAUUGUACAAGAGACGCUGAGACUGGACAUGCCGAUGCUUGGCGUGUUCAACUGGGUUUCAAACACAUUCCGAGAACUAAUCAAGCCUCUCCAUCCUUCCAUAUAUAUAAAUGACAGUUUGGCAGGGGACAUUAAGCUUAAUAAAGACAAUCUCAUAUACAUAACGGUUAGAAAGAUUUACAACA